rnacentral:lncRNA from 1 species
GGAAAUAAAUUCUUUAUUGCAAAAUGAUUACAUGUUACAAUAAGUUUACAUUAGACAGUUAUCGAAGUGAUUACAAAAGAAAGUGAUUCAAAAGAAUUACAAUUUAAAAUGUAUAAAAUAUUUAUAGGUUUUAAAAUACAUGCUAGCUUAAGUGACAAUCCUCAAUAAAGAAGCUAAAGAUGGGAUAUACUUAUAUAAGAAGGCCGAGCCCACCGGCACUUAGCACCAUCCACAACAGAACAAAAUUAUAACCUGAAAAACAACAGGGAAUAAAACCCUGAGUACACAAUUACUCAGCAAGACUUACCCGACUAAAGAAAAGACUCUCAAGGGUAUGCUGGUUUAUUGGGAAUCAAGGUAAAGCUUAUCAAAUUUCAAAGACUCAUUUUGCAGAAGAGCUUACUAGUAGUGGAUCCUUAUGCCAAAAUUUUACUUCACAAGUUAAGUACUUUUCCUGAAUCUAGAUUUGCCUAAUCUAGAGCAUUCACUUGUCCUAUACUAGCUUCAUUUUAGCAGCUUUAGUUUCACUUGUUAUCUACGAUGCAGGGCAGUGAUCCAGUCUUCAUAUCCGAGAAGUAACGGCGAUCCGAAUCGAUUAAUACUCAGCUGAGGAUCUCCAACCACACGACAUAUGUAGCACUUAACCCUUGCAUAUGUCAACUCGCCACCGGGUUUCUCAAGACCAGAACGGGUUCACGCGACCCGAGAGCACAGCACUCCACCGUCCAGCCAUGGGCCUGGUUGGUACACGUUACUUUCGCAUGGUGCCCGCCAUGUUUCCGAGAGUACAGCACCCCACCUUCCAGUCUCUUGCCACGGAGGGUACAAGCUACUCUCGCCAUCUCUCCACUCCCAGUGCGUGCGAGCUGUUCUGGUAUUGGUCCGACCGAGGCAAAGCUUACCCAUGAUGAGGCAUGUGGCCAGUUAAAGGGUCCUAGAUCAGCAAGCCUACUUUCGGUACGGUCCUUAGUCGACACAGACGGGCGACUUUUCCUGCUCAACGUCUGGUCUCAUCUUAUUAUUUAACACCCAAACCAUGUACCUGACAGAGGUACAAUACUCGAAUAAUGAAUUCAUCAUCGCGAGUGAUGCCUUCAUUAUUGCAAGUUCCUUUUUCAUAAAACCCAUAUCCAGUGUUGCACAACAUUCUUUUUAAAAGAACAACUUUUAGUUUUUCUAAGCAGGGCUAAGCCUCAUUAGUUCUCUUUAUAAAAUAGGAAUCAAGGAAGAUAAUCAAAUUCCAAGGAAUGGCAAUGCAUCAAUUGUUUCAUCACUCAACUCCUAUCACCUAAUGCAGCAUAUAAGUGAUAAAAGUUUUAAAACAACAAGGAGGUGGCAAAUGCACCGGGGCUUGCCUGGGAUAAACACUAUGUUAGUGUUGUUAAUUGACGACCACUUGGUGAGCAUCUUCCAUCCUGACACUUGGUUGAUUCAUCCAUUUUAGCUUCGUCCAUCAGCAUCACUUGGAGAUCAAUUCCACUCGUCUUCCAUAGCACGUGAUCAAUUAACGUACCUAAAUGAUAUGCAUAAUGCAUAUGAGAGAAUAAUCAUAAACAAUACAAGAUAAUAACACUAUGUCGAAGAGGGUAAUAUAUUGCUAGUAAGGCAUUAGAACUCCUAGGCAAACACUAGAUACCUUUGAAUUAACAACAAUCAUGAUCCUCGAGCUAGAGGGACCUAAUUCAAACAUUUGGAAAUCAUAACUAAACACAAGCCUUAAGCUAAAGCAUAACAUCGAUAGGUUAUUACCCUUAGACUUGUCACUUUUUAACACUCAAAACUUGGAAAAGGUGAUAGAACACAUGUAACUAACUUUCUAAUUCAAUAAGGUCUGGCACAAGCAUCAAGAAAGCAGUACAUCUCAAAGGAUUACUAGAACUUAGGUUCACUAGUGAUAGUCACCUCAGACUUAGAUUAAAGAUAUGAGUAGCUUAACUAGUUUCCUAAACUUCUUUCCCAAAUUAACUUAUUGUAACACACCAACUAAUAAAUCAUCACAUUUCUAUUCAAUCACACAAGUAGAACACUUAUCACACAACAUAAAGUUCCAUAGAAUUUACAUCCUCAACAAUUAAAGAUCUAAAGCAUACAAGAUGAAAUAUAAUAAGUGUUCCAUACUUUCCUUAGAUUACUGAGUAUAGCACCUUAAGCUUGGGACACUUGUUCACUUGAAUUUAGCAAGUACAAGACUUCAUCAAUCAAGAACUAACUAAAUUUACUUAGUCAAACAAUAAGAAGGAAAUGAAUUAAUCAAAUAUAACAAGGCAUUUCGAUAAACACUUCAUAUGCAACAAGUUGUCAUCAAUCAAGGGUAAAAAAAAUGACCUAGCCAAACAAGAGCAACUUCAAGAAAUCCACUUAAUGCUUGCUGAUUUUGGACAGCAAAACAGCAGCUAGUUGUUUUAUUCAUAACUUACACAAUAUUCAUCCAAAAAUAGUAAACUAAGACUUUUUGGAAAUCUUAUAAAGUCCUCUACAAUUUUGGUAUUAUCAUCACAAUGAGAUUCGACAUUUAAAAAUGUCAAACAGUACGAAAUGCAAUUUCUGUCCAGAUUUGGACAGAAUUCGACUGCUUACUUCAUUAAUUCAUAACCGGAGUUUCAGAAAUCCAAAUCAGGUGAUCCUAGACUUUUUAGAAAGAUAAUAGAAUUGUCUAUAAUUUAUUUUUAAACAUCUCCAGUUAAUUCAAUGCGUAGAAAGGUCAGUUAAUAUAAACAAACAUUGCUGUCCAGAUUUGGACAGAUUCAGACUCUAUAGUUUGAACAACUGUAACUUGGUCUCUAGACCACCAAAAAUGGUGCUCCAAAAUUUGUUGGAAAGCUUAAGCAAUGUACUACAAUUAUCCUAUAAUUAUUAAGAGCUUAUUCUCAGUUUAACUUGGGCAAACAAGGUCAUUUUCGAAAUCUGUACAGAAUCUGGACAGAUUCUGAAACUGGACUUGGAAAAUUCAUAACUCCUAAACUGCUAAGCCUAUGGUCAUGAAAUUUUUACACAAGCAAGAUAAAGCAAUUAUCUACAAGUUUUAUAUGUAACACUUCUACAGAAGACACGGUUUACUUCCCUAUACAAGCUACGCAACUAAAACUGGACACACAGUCCAAAGAGCAAACAUUUCAAUUUAGUUCAUAUUUGGCUUCUGCAAUUAUUAUGUUCUUGACACUUACUAAGAUAAGUCGUUAAUGUUACCAUACAUUAGGAUUUCAUCCAAUAAACACUAAUAACCCUUAUCGGCCAAGAGCUAUAAAUAACAAGCAUAUUCUUUUUCUAAACAUCACCACAGAACAACACAUCUCAAACAUCGAAUCUAUUAAAUCGUACUCGACAAUCACAUAAACCAAAUUGUAGCCUCCUUUCUAAACCAACCAGGUUUAGCCCAAGUAUCAAGAAAGCAAUGAACCAUACAUAUAAACAAAUGGACAUUCCAACGCACGUCUGUCUCGCAUACAAUUGCAUGAACGCAAAAGAGUAGAUAAUUCUAAUUCUAAGCCACAAGUACCAUGGCCGGUAUAUCUACCCUAUCUACUAAUAAAUCGAUGAGUAGUAGUAACAAAUCAGAGUACUAUUAUUAAUCCGCCGUGAAUUCCACAAAACAAAUACGACUCAGGCUCCGGCCUUCUACCAAACACUUUAUUUAAUCGAUCAUAACCAAAAUACGCAUGCUACAAACAAGAUGGUCAUCGUGACCAAUGCAUCCAUGCAAACCAACCAUUUAUCCGACUAACGAAAACAACAUAUCGACUUACCACGACUAAACUUGACGCGGUGUCCGCGAACAUGGCGAUAGUUUCGGUUCAGUCUUUCUAUUUGAUACCUAACAAGUGUCACGCGUCUUCGAAGGAGGACUGCAAGAAACGACAUCGAUUUAUAGGUUUGGCAUUACAUCAAACACAGGGCAUGCAGGGACAGCGAGAUCUCACCGGGGUUUAACGACACUGCAACCAGGCUGCCCAAAAAUCACGGAGUCGACGACGUGCUGUUCGACCACUACCGAGGCGUUGUUGCUGACUUCAAGUGAGGAGAGGGCGCGGCCAUGGGAGUAGGGCUGGCGUUGGGAGGUAGGAGACGGGUGGCCUGACGGCACCAUGGCUGGGGGCAGGGGCGACCAGCGUGCAGGAAACAGGUGCUGCGGCGGCCAUGGAAAGAAACUCGGCCAGGGGCUCAGCGGGAGCACCUGGGAAGGGGCCUGGACGAGCAGAAUCUUGGAGCUCGCGUCCAUGGCAGAGGAAGGGAAGGGGAGGAGACGCCAUGGCUACCUAGGCGUCGAGAGGAGCAGAGGCACCACGAGCUGGAAACGAGAGGGUACCGGAGGGAAAGCAGGAGGCCAGAUCCGACCGCGGCUAGGAGAGCACGCCGGCGAGGCUUGGUGGAGGUGAAACGGUGUUGAGGCCGAUCCCAGUGAGCGCUGACCACCAGCGAACAGAGGCCCGACGUCGAGAUUGGCCGGCACGAGCUGGGAGAGGGCGCCUGUGCCAGAACAGGAUGAGGACCAGAGGGCGCAUCCAUGCGAGCAGGAGGCUUGGUGGCUUGCAGUUGGAGGCGAUGGCGGAUGUGUGAUGAACGUUGAGCACGUGAGAGGCAGAGGUAAGCUACCGACGAUCGAAGCUGGGAGAUCAAGCACCUUCGUUGGCUUAAAAGUGAGCGACGACUGAGAAAAAAUGGCAGCUGGUCGUAAGGGAGAGGCCUGGUGUGGCUUCUAG